rnacentral:lncRNA from 1 species
ACCUGACCGCAUUCUGCACCUCAACUCUCCAUGGAGCAGCUGCUGCGCGCCCAGCUUCACACCACAACACUGCGGGCCUUUGGGAGCUCCGGAGGGGGCUGCAUCAGCGAGGGCUAUGCCUACUACACUGACAGUGGCCCCGUGUUUGUCAAGGUCAAUCGCAGGACACAGGUGCGCUGCCCGGUAUACAAGGAUAAAGUCUAGGAAGGGGAAAGAGGAAUGCAGGAUUCUGAGAAGUGGUGGAGGAACUAGACCUGGCGUACCCAACGCUCUGCUGAGGGGUCAACCAGCACUUGCAUGCAGGCAGCUUCUUGGGACCAGAGGGUUUCUCUUUGCUGCAUGAUUAUUUUCUUGCUUUUGCUCCCACACAGGGGCUUUAAAUUUUCUGUAAUCACUGACCAUGGGGGAGGUGAGUCUUAGCGGUAAGCUGCUUCUGCCCAUGUCUGGUCUCUGCUCUGACCUCAGCUCCUGCAUUUUCCCAGCAGGUGAAGAGAGACAGGAUUCCCAGGGCUAGGUUAGCACCAUCGUUCUCAAAGGCUCUGUUGGUUUCUAGGACGUUUAAGAUAUCCCCGUUUAAGAAUGUAUGGAGCCAGGCAUACAUCUAAACCCUAUCACUCUGGUACUUAGGAGGCUGAGACAGGAGGAUGGUGAGUUCCAUGUCAGCCUGGGCUACAUGAGGAGAAGCUGGCUCAAAAACAAAAACAAACUAACAACAACAAAAGAAUGCAUGGAAAACUGUAAGACAACUGAGGACUGUUAGCUAGAGUCCCUGAGAGCAAGCUGUGCUGGCACAGCAUGGUGCUCCCCUUCUGUGGGGGGAGGACUCCAGAGGUUCUGGACUCUGUGGGGAGUAGUUCUGGAUAGUGGUUAUAGUAUCUAGGAUGCUCCUGGUAUCAUUAGAGACGGUGAAGGUAGCACCUCCCUGCUUUCUGUGCAGCGUUGGCCUGGUUUGGAGGUUUACCCUGGAAGCAUGGCUGAAGUUUGCAAAUGCCCUUCCACAACAGGCUGCUCAGCACAUGCCUCUUUGUCCCAAGUGCAGGUUGGCGAUUUGAGUGUACCUGUCUGACUUUUCCCCUUGAAAGGGGAUUAAGGGGGAAGAAUGGUUUACAUGUGUGAUAAUAAAUGUUUUGGCUUCAAGUUUCACUUUUAAUCAACGAUAUCCAAUUUAUUUUGUGUGUAUGUAUGUAUGUGUGUGUGUGUGUGAAAGCUCUGGUUUGCAUAUUCAUGACGUGCGUAGAAGUCAGUGGAUAACUUUUGGGGAGUUGGUUCUGUCCUUCGGCCUUAUUUUGUGGCAAGGUUUUUCUUGUUUCUGCUGCCACACGGCCUGUUCUAGGCUAGCUGGCCUGAAAGACUCCAGCUGACUGUUUGUCUCCCAUCAUGUGGUAGGAGGGCUGGGAUUACAGAUGCACACCACCACAUCUGGAACACACUACCACAUCUGGAUUUUUGGAGAUCAAAGCUGGGUGAUCAGGCUUGAAUGCUUUUACCCACAGUCAUCUACUUUUUAAUUUUUACAAAUGUAUGAUUCUAUAUGUAGAAGUGUUCACAAACCCCAUGAAUAAAUGCAUGGGGGGGGGGGCUGAGGAUGUCAUUCAUUGUAGAGCAUUUGCCUAGUGUGGACAGUCUCCUGGGUUGAGCCUCCCAGCACCACAAAUAAAUAAGUAAAUAAAAUGCAUGUUUUUAACCAAGGUAUAGUGAACAAUAUGAAAGUUUGCUAAAAAUAAGUGGGGGUAUUUCUAAGUCACUUAGAAACAAGCCUCUGCAUCCCAGAAAAGGCCUGUGGACAAGCUGGGUAUACUAGCUUCUCUAGUCCUUGCUAGAAUGGAGCCAGGCUCUUCUAACCUCACCACUCUGCCUUCUCUGACUCAAAUGUGAUCCCAGGUAAUUUCUACCAUGCCCAAGGCUGCCUGCCCCCACUUAGAGGCAUGAAGGAAAACAAUACCUUGGAGGACUCAGUCCCAGCCUCAGACUUUGUUGGUUCACACUUCACUUGUACCCAUUCCUCUCACCCCACCCCCACCUUGCAUCCCCUUGUGACCUGUGCAUCUUCCACCGCAAGGCUUUGCUUGUGUGAGUCUCCCCUUAGACCCCUUGAAUUCUGGCAUCAGGCUUGUCCUUUCAGUUCCUUCUUACCUGAAGGGGUCUCUCUUGAACACUGGCCUCGAGAGAUGGAGGUGAUGCUGUUUUUCAGUAAUUGAAGGCACUUGGUCUUCUGGCUUGUGCCAAGGGCCAUGAGUACUUUGGUCUGGCUAGCAAGGUCCCUGUGAGGGUCCAGGAUUGCAGAGCUGACAGAGCUCAUGGCAUUUGGAUGCAGGCCCGGCAGAUGUUUGAGGGAGAGAUGGCGAGCCUGGAGGCCCUCCGCAACACUGGCUUGGUGCGGGUUCCUAAGCCCAUGAAGGUGAUUGACUUGCCAGGAGGUGGGGCUGUCUUUGUGAUGGAGCACUUGAAGAUGAAGAGCCUUAGCAGGUGAGUGCAUUUGUGUGUAUGGGGAGGGAGAGAGCCAUGUGCAUGUGCAAAGAUAGGGAGAGGCUGACAUACAUAUAGAGAGAUAUGCACAGAAAGAGAGAAAGGCGAGUUUGUACACAGAAAGAGGCAGGGACAGACAUAGACACAAGACACAGAGAAACAGACACAGAAAUAGAGAAGACAAACAGGUGGAGAGAGAGAGAGAAAUGGAGAGAGAGGG